GUGCCAUGAUGAGGGCAUUUGCUUAGUAACUCUUUGAACCAAUCCAAUGCUUCUUAUAAAGACUCGUCAUCUAGUUGUUGGAAAGAAGUGAUCUCAUUUCGAAGCUU